UGGAUUUGUUGAUCUACUUUGUCUGAAGUUGGAAGGUGUUGAUCUUUGUUGUUGUUAAGUUCUCAUUUGGGUCACUAAUGAGUGGCUCAUGGAUGAAGAAUAUCUAUUGGAAAAUUCUAGUGAAAUGGUGAAGAUAACAACAAGUAGUAGAAAGUUUGAUUGUAUAUAGAAUUUUGUGAAGUGGGUUUUGUUUGAUUUCUG
rnacentral:misc_RNA from 1 species